UAAAGGAGGUGGAUGAGGUCGGACCCAAUGAAACGUACCACAUCCUGGUAAUGCUGAAACCGAUCUGCACUGAAAGGGAGAAGGUGAAAAACAGUGCUGAAGAUUUUCAGGACAGUGAUUGGAGCAGAAAGGAUCUACUUGGGCCGCAACACAGGCGGAAAUUGAGGGAUACAGUUUUAGCAUUCGCGGAAAGGGGUUGGAUAUAAUUAGUUUAAUAAAAAAAAAGGGUAGACAUACUUUGAUAAUCAUAACAUGGGAG
rnacentral:misc_RNA from 1 species